rnacentral:rRNA from 1 species
AGAGUUUGAUCCUGGCUCAGAACGAACGCUGGCGGCGUGCUUAAUACAUGCAAGUUGUGCGAGAAAGUACCCUUCGGGGUGCGAGUAGAGCAGCGAACGGGUGAGUAACACGUAAGAAACCUGCCCCCAAAUUCGGGAUAACCUUGCUAACGCGGGGCUAAUACCGGAUGUGGUCAUUACCUCACAUGUGGUUUUGACUAAAGGUGACCUCUUCUUGAAAGUUACUGUUUGGGGAUGGUCUUGCGGACCAUUAGCUUGUUGGCGGGGUAACGGCCCACCAAGGCUAUGAUGGUUAGCCGGCCUGAGAGGGUGAACGGCCACAUUGGGACUGAGAUACGGCCCAGACUCCUACGGGAGGCAGCAGUAGGGAAUUUUGCGCAAUGGACGAAAGUCUGACGCAGCAACGCCGCGUGAGGGAUGAAGGUUUUCGGAUUGUAAACCUCUGUUGAGUGGGAAGAAACACUUCAUGGCUAAUAUCCAUGGAGCCUGACGGUACCACUCGAGGAAGCCCCGGCUAAAUACGUGCCAGCAGCCGCGGUAAUACGUAUGGGGCAAGCGUUGUUCGGAAUCACUGGGCGUAAAGGGAGCGUAGGCGGAAGGGUAAGUUAGAGGUGUAAUCUUCAGGCUCAACCUGAAGUUUGCCUUUAAUACUGCUUUUCUUGAGUAUUGGAGAGGGAAACGGAAUUCCAGGUGUAGCGGUGGAAUGCGUAGAUAUCUGGAAGAACACCAGUAGCGAAGGCGGUUUCCUGGCCAAAUACUGACGCUGAGGCUCGAAAGUGUGGGGAGCAAACAGGAUUAGAUACCCUGGUAGUCCACACCGUAAACGAUGGACACUAGAUGUUGGAGGGGUUACCUUUCAGUGUCGUAGCUAACGCGUUAAGUGUCCCGCCUGGGGAGUACGCCCGCAAGGGUGAAACUCAAAGGAAUUGACGGGGGCCCGCACAAGCGGUGGAGCAUGUGCUUUAAUUCGAUGCAACGCGAAGAACCUUACCUGGGCUUGACAUGGUAGUGUAACUUUCUGGAGACAGGGAGCCUUCCUUCGGGAACACUACACACAGGUGCUGCAUGGUUGUCGUCAGCUCGUGUCGUGAGAUGUUGGGUUAAGUCCCGCAACGAGCGCAACCCUCGUCCUUAGUUGCCAUCAGGUAAAGCUGGGAACUCUAAGGAGACUGCCUGGUAUAACCAGGAGGAAGGUGGGGAUGACGUCAAAUCCUCAUGGCCCUUACGUCCAGGGCUAGACACGUGCUACAAUGGCUGGUACAGAGGGAUGCAAAGUCGUGAGACCAAGCUAAUCCGACAAAACCAGUCUCAGUUCGGAUUGGAGUCUGCAAUUCGACUCCAUGAAGUUGGAAUCGCUAGUAAUCGCGGAUCAGCAUGCCGCGGUGAAUAUGUUCCCGGGCCUUGUACACACCGCCCGUCAAGCCACGAAAGAUGGUAGUGCCCGAAGUCGCUUCUCUAACCGUAAGGAGGAGGGCGCCGAAGGUAAGACUGUUGAUUGGGGCUAAGUCGUAACAAGGUA